AUUGAACGCUGGCGGCAUGCUUUACACAUGCAAGUCGAACGGCAGCGCGGGGCAUCCUGGCGGCGAGUGGCGAACGGGUGAGUAAUAUAUCGGAACGUACCCAGAAGUGGGGGAUAACGUAGCGAAAGUUACGCUAAUACCGCAUACGAUCUACGGAUGAAAGUAGGGGACCGCAAGGCCUUAUGCUUUUGGAGCGGCCGAUAUCUGAUUAGCUAGUUGGUGAGGUAAAGGCUCACCAAGGCGACGAUCAGUAGCUGGUCUGAGAGGACGACCAGCCACACUGGAACUGAGACACGGUCCAGACUCCUACGGGAGGCAGCAGUGGGGAAUUUUGGACAAUGGGCGCAAGCCUGAUCCAGCAAUGCCGCGUGAGUGAAGAAGGCCUUCGGGUUGUAAAGCUCUUUUGUCAGGGAAGAAACGGUAGAGGCUAAUAUCCUUUGCUAAUGACAGUACCUGAAGAAUAAGCACCGGCUAACUACGUG
rnacentral:rRNA from 1 species